rnacentral:rRNA from 1 species
AUUGAACGCUGGCGGCAGGCUUAACACAUGCAAGUCGAGCGGGGGAAGGUAGCUUGCUACCGGACCUAGCGGCGGACGGGUGAGUAAUGCUUAGGAAUCUGCCUAUUAGUGGGGGACAACAUUCCGAAAGGAAUGCUAAUACCGCAUACGUCCUACGAGAGAAAGCAGGGGAUCUUCGGACCUUGCGCUAAUAGAUGAGCCUAAGUCGGAUUAGCUAGUUGGUGGGGUAAAGGCCUACCAAGGCGACGAUCUGUAGCGGGUCUGAGAGGAUGAUCCGCCACACUGGGACUGAGACACGGCCCAGACUCCUACGGGAGGCAGCAGUGGGGAAUAUUGGACAAUGGGGGAAACCCUGAUCCAGCCAUGCCGCGUGUGUGAAGAAGGCCUUAUGGUUGUAAAGCACUUUAAGCGAGGAGGAGGCUACUGAGACUAAUACUCUUGGAUAGUGACGUUACUCGCAGAAUAAGCACCGGCUAACUCUGUGCCAGCAGCCGCAGUAA